GACGAACGCUGGCGGCGUGCUUAACACAUGCAAGUCGAACGGAAAGGCCCUGCUUUUGUGGGGUGCUCGAGUGGCGAACGGGUGAGUAACACGUGAGUAACCUGCCCUUGACUUUGGGAUAACUUCAGGAAACUGGGGCUAAUACCGGAUAGGAGCUCCUGCUGCAUGGUGGGGGUUGGAAAGUUUCGGCGGUUGGGGAUGGACUCGCGGCUUAUCAGCUUGUUGGUGGGGUAGUGGCUUACCAAGGCUUUGACGGGUAGCCGGCCUGAGAGGGUGACCGGCCACAUUGGGACUGAGAUACGGCCCAGCCUCCUACGGGAGGCAGCAGUGGGGUAUAUUGCACAAUGGGCGGAAGCCUGAUGCAGCACCGCCGCGUGCGGGAUGACGGCCUUCGGGUUGUAAACCGCUUUCGCCUGUGACGAAGCGUGAGUGACGGUAAUGGGUAAAGAAGCACCGGCUAACUACGUG
rnacentral:rRNA from 1 species